GACGUAGGGGGCCAGCGUUGUUCGGAAUUACUGGGUGUAAAGGGUUCGUAGGCGGUGCGGCAAGUUGGGAGUGAAAUCUCUGGGCUUAACCCAGAGGCUGCUUCCAAACUGCUGUGCUUGAGUGUGGGAGAGGCGCGUGGAAUUGCAGGUGUAGCGGUGAAAUGCGUAGAUAUCUGCAGGAACACCCGUGGCGAAAGCGGCUCUCUGGGACGGUACUGACGCUGAGACGCGAAAGCGUGGGGAGCGAACAGGAUUAGAAAC
rnacentral:rRNA from 1 species